rnacentral:rRNA from 1 species
GAUGAAAGAUGGAGGAGGGAAGAAUACAGGCAAGUCGAGCGAACAGACGAGGAGCUUGCUCCUCUGACGUUAGCGGCGGACGGGUGAGUAACACGGGGAUAACCUACCUAUAAGACUGGGAUAACUUCGGGAAACCGGAGCUAAUACCGGAUAAUAUAUUGAACCGCAUGGUUCAAUAGUGAAAGACGGUUUUGCUGUCACUUAUAGAUGGAUCCGCGCCGCAUUAGCUAGUUGGUAAGGUAACGGCUUACCAAGGCAACGAUGCGUAGCCGACCUGAGAGGGUGAUCGGCCACACUGGAACUGAGACACGGUCCAGACUCCUACGGGAGGCAGCAGUAGGGAAUCUUCCGCAAAGGGCGAAAGCCUGACGGAGCAACGCCGCGUGAGUGAUGAAGGUCUUCGGAUCGUAAAACUCUGUUAUUAGGGAAGAACAAAUGUGUAAGUAACUAUGCACGUCUUGACGGUACCUAAUCAGAAAGCCACGGCUACCUACGUG